rnacentral:misc_RNA from 1 species
AAAUGGCCACGUGACCUGAAAUUUACAGAAAAAUGUCGGAGUCGGAAUUACGCCGGCGAAAGGGGGAUGGAGGUCCGGAGGGGGAUACCGGAGUGUCGGAGUCGGAGACGGAUAAAAUGCCGAGAGAUGAGAGUGAUGCUGAUGAUAAACCAAUGAUAAACAAGAGUUUGGCGGAAACUAUUGGACAGGAUAAAAAUCCUGACUCCUUGGACGCGGCUCUAAGUGGAUUACCUCCAAGGUGGAAGAACUAUGUGAUCCGUUUUAUCUUCACCUGGUUAAUGAUCGGUGGGUUCGGGUUGAUCAUCUACGGCGGACCCUUAGCUCUCAUGAUCACCACCUUCGUGGUCCAAGUCAAGUGUUUCUCCGAGAUUAUUAAUAUCGGGUACGCUGUUUACAAGAUGGAUAAUUUGCCCUGGUUCAGGUCAAUGUCCUGGUACUUUCUCGUAGCCUCGAACUACUUCUUCUACGGGGAGAGCUUGGUGGAGUACUUCGGGGUACUUGUCAACAGGGUUGAUUUUCUCUCCUCUCUGGUGAAGUAUCACCGAUUUAUCUCCUUCACCAUGUACAUCCUAGGAUUUGUCUGGUUUGUGUUGAGCCUUGUGAAGAAGUAUUAUCUACGUCAGUUCUCCCUGUUCGCCUGGACCCAUGUAGCACUACUCAUUGUAGUCACUCAGUCAUACCUCAUCAUUCAGAAUAUGUUCCAAGGACUAAUCUGGUUUAUCAUGCCGAUCUUGAUGGUGGUGAUCAACGACGUGAUGGCGUACAUGUUCGGAUUCUUCAUGGGUCGUACUCCACUCAUCAAGCUUAGCCCCAAGAAAACCUGGGAGGGAUUUAUCGGUGGAGGAAUAGCAACUGUAUUUAUGACCCUGGGCCUCUCCUACCUAAUGUGUCAGUUCCCGUAUUUCGUUUGCCCGAUAGAGUACUCCCCGGAGUUGGAGAGGAUGACAAUGUCCUGCGAGCCCUCCGCUCUCUUCAGACCUCAGGAGUAUGCUCUCCCGCAGACUCUCACCACCUGGAGAAGGAUUCUACACAUGAAGGAAACCGUGACCCUCUACCCGUUCUUGCUCCACGCCCUCUUCAUGUCCCUCUUCGCCUCUAUCAUUGGCCCUUUCGGCGGGUUCUUCGCUUCAGGGUUCAAGAGAGCGUUUAAGAUCAAGGAUUUCGGAGAUAUUAUCCCAGGCCAUGGGGGUAUCAUGGACAGGUUUGACUGCCAGUUCCUGAUGGCAACCUUCGUCAACGUUUACUACCAUAGCUUCAUUUACGUUGUAACACCUGGCAAGCUGCUGCAGCUGGUGUUUAUGCUGAAACCUGAAGAACAGCUGGAGCUAUAUCAUUCUCUGGAGGAUUCACUGCUAGCUAGGGGGAUACUCGCCCCUCUUAAUUAGUCCGUAUUGAGGGGGACGCCGCCUCCAGCCAUGGGGGGGGGGUAUGUCACCCCUUAAUAAGUUAGGAAGGCCAGGGUAUCCUUGAGUCCCUAAUGUACUCGGAGAUGAGGGAAAAGGAUGGUAUAAUAAUCCUCUUUAAUUUCCCAGAAUUUAUCUGAUCAAAUCUUUCUGAUUAUUCAUGUCAAAGGGACUGACGUUUCCCUUAAAUCAAAUAUUGAUGUUAGAUCUCUGAAGUACGCUAGUUCGUUUAAACGUACUGCAUAUAGUGUUGUACCAAGGAGUAAGAAAUGGAAGGGAGAUACAACCGACGCGGCCCGCCUUAUCAUAUGAUUAUACAUACAUGCUUUGCAGACGGUACUUACUCCAUUUGAAUAAGAAAUAUUUGUCUGAUGUAUACAA